AAACAUAACUGAGAAGCAUCUUGUGUCCUACUUUAUAUCAUUUUCAGGGCAAUUGGAUCCUUCUCCUUCCAGGUUUUGCCCCAGUUUUGAGAAUGAUGUUGAAGCUACAUCUGCAGAAGAGGCUACAGGAUAGCUGCAUUCUGCCUCUUUGUGUUCUCUCAUCACACAGGAAGAGGAGCUUCAAGAUAAAGAACUCGGAGUUAAGCUGAGGAGCAGAAUGAUUCUUCUAUAACAUGAAAGGUGAGUGAAACUUCUUUCUUUUUCUUUUUUAUCCUCACUUUAACCUAAAUUCAGAUAACUGAUUGUACAUGGCAUGUUGUAUAUAAACACAGAGAACAAGCCAGGAGGUAUUUCUGUUAAUUCUGCACUUCAGCUCAAGCAAAUUCUUUGAUGCAUUGAGUGGCAGUUCUUCUAGAAUAUCUGUAAGGUGAUAUGGAGUAUUUAUGAAUAUUUGCAGAAAGUAUCUUGCUCUUUGUAAUUAUUUGGGUAUUAAACAGUGGAGAAAAGAAGAUUAGUCUGCAGUAUCAUCACUGUGCUAGUGAGUCACUCAACCAUUACUCCGAAGAGGACUUUCCACUUUCUUUGCUGUCUCAUUAUCCUCCAAAGGCUGUCAAUGUGACACAGUCUUUGUGUAGUGUUGUUAGUAUUUAAUGUUUCUUUUUAAAGACGUGAAACAAAGUUCCUCCUCUUAGAAGUUAAAAUUCUACAGGAAUUUGGUAUGUAAUCUUCAAUAUUUCACUUUGAAACUGUGAAAAUGAUCACAGUUUUUAAUUAUGCAUUGUUACGGCUUUUGUUGACCCUUUUCUUGAGGACAUUGUGGAGAAAUAGAAUGAGGCUGGGAUAAAGCUGAACAAAAUUGUAUAAUUCCAUUUAUCUACAUUUUUAUAAAGUCA
rnacentral:lncRNA from 7 species